AAACCAGCACCUCAAGUGGUCAGGAGGAUUAUUGGGCCUAAAGCAUCCGUAGCCUGCUGCAUAAGUUUUCGGUUAAAUCCAUACGCUCAACGUAUGGGCUGCCGGGAAUACUGUGCAGCUAGGGAGUGGGAGAGGUAGACGGUACUCGGUAGGAAGGGGUAAAAUCCUUUGAUCUAUUGAUGACCACCUGUGGCGAAGGCGGUCUACCAGAACACGUUCGACGGUGAGGGAUGAAAGCUGGGGGAGCAAACCGGAUUAGAAACCCGAGUAGUCC
rnacentral:rRNA from 1 species